GGGGAUGAUAGGCUUCGACGGGAGAGGCUGGCCCCGAAUUGCGAGCCGAGAGGCGCCGAACUCGAGAAAUCAGCGCACAAUAAAAGUGCCAAUACUCGCACUUCAUACGCUGCACUUCCACUCGCUGCAUAAGCGAUGGUAAGUUCAGCUGAUCCUCCUAGAAGGAUCACGUCCACCAACCCCGCUCUCUGACCGGUGGUUGGAUUGGGCGUAAAAAAGUCAGAGUGCCGUGUAUUAUGCCGCUAAACACACGAAAGAGAGAUCUUCGGGUCUCAGCGGCUGGUUGGGUAACUUUUAUGUCGAUUUAGGGUUGCCCGAUGAGAUCAAAUAAUCGACUACGCUCGUAGAUAUUCGGAGGACGAAUCUUUCGGACGCGGGUUCGAUUCCCGCCAUCUCCACCU
rnacentral:tmRNA from 1 species